rnacentral:piRNA from 1 species
UGUUCACUGUGAACUCUGCCUCUGCUAGC